rnacentral:tRNA from 1 species
AGUUAGGCAGUAUCAGGGUACAGGCAAUUUCCAAUUGUCAGGAAUACUAGCUA